CCUUGAGCUGUCUGUAACUACACAGCUGAAAAUCCAUCAUUUUCCUACAAGAGAAUUCCUCUGAAUAAUUCAGAUUUUGAGAGGAUUAACCCUUACCAUCACGUGGAGUUGUUGGAGUUAAAUUUCCUAGCAGCAGCUGUCUACAUUGAACUGUGUCACAAUUGCACAGAGUGUAUUAAAUUAGCAAAAGCUGGUCUCAUAAAAA